GGGUACCCAUUAAAUACCCGGAUUUUUUUUUAUUAGCUGUAACUCAAAUUAGGGUUACUUACUUUCAUCUACUCUUCUCUGUCCUCACUUUCUCAGACAAGCAGUAACUAGCAGCCGCACUCCAUUUUUCCUCACUCCUCUACUCUAUCUCAAUUCCAAAACAGUCAACACACCGUCCUUCCUCCCUCUCAGGCAAACAUCCUUCCUCUCUCUCAGGCGAACGUCCUUCCUUCGUCAGUCCUCACCGUCAGCCCUAUAAGUUUUCCAAGAUUGGAUGUGUCAUUCUAAUACCCCUAUUGCUAUUGUGGAAAGCUUGCUUGAGUUGGAGAAUAUGGAAGAAGAAGGGAUUACAGACUUGGUUUCGGAGCAACCAACAAUUUUCAUUGAUGAAACUAUUGAAGCUUCGGAUGUUACAAGUGACUGAAAUUAUCCCCUCUCCCAUUUAGUUUGAUUUGUGGCUUUAAGACAUUGUUUGGACUUUGUAAUUUAUUUGGUUGUUUAAUUUGUUGAUUUAAUUUGAUGUAGACUCUUUAAACUCUCUGGCUAUGGCUAGUGCAGUCUGGACACUUUGAACUUUAGUUAGCAUUUUGUACUUUGAAUCAGAAUUUGUUUGAAUUAUGAGAAUAUUUGUACUAAAACAGGUGUACAACCCCAUAUAAGAAGAAUUGUAGGGAUUUGCAGCA